rnacentral:tRNA from 1 species
GGCUCUGUAGUGAAAUUCAUAGUGAGUUGCAAGCUCAUUGAUGUGCGUCAAUCAUGCACCGGGGUCU